rfam:Ornithorhynchus anatinus chromosome 1, whole genome shotgun sequence.
AGCAGCGUGGCUCAUUGGAAAGAGCAUGGGCUUUGGAGUCAGAGGUCAUGAGUUCGAAUCCCAACUCUGCCA